GGUAAUGUGGUCAGCUCACAGGUGACAGAGCUAGAGGGGAGGAGGGGUGUGCUUUGUUCACUCACUGAGGACCUUCCUCACUUCAUCUCCUCUCUGCCCUGCAGUCCAAUGGAAGCCCUUUCUCACUUCCCAGCGUGGGCAAACAAAUAUCUUUGGACUAGAUAUCUGAACACUUCUUCAGUGACAGCUGAAAACUCAACAAAGAGUUUCCAUCAUUGUAUCAGAGAUUCAUUCCUAGGAAGAUGGAGCCAUCCUUUUGUAUCCAUUGUAGUAGACCACUCCUUGGUACCCCAUCCUCUGGCUACAGCCUCUUUCCCAAGCCUGCUUGUAAACUGUCAUGUAUGUUUGCUGUGCUUAAUUCCCCAAAAGGUUGACAAAGGAAUCAAGUAAUCUUAAUCCUAUGACUCAUGUCACACAACCUGAAUUGAAUUGUUAAUUUCAACACCUUCUCUGGGCAAAGAGAGCCACCUACUUUAUCUUCUCUAUUUCUUUUCAAACCAUCUUUAACAUAUAAGAAAAAAAAUUCUUCUAUACAUCCUUGUAAUAGAUUUCUGGACUAGACCAAGUCUAAUAUUGACAAGUUUUGACUGGGAAAACAUGAUUUGGAAGUCUUAGGCUAUUGCCUUCUGGGGAAUGGUGACCUCAUAGCAGAGAAAGCCCAGUGAUGGAAGAGUAAACAUCAGUGAAGAAGGGGAGGGAAAGUUCUUCACUUAGACUCUUGCUGCCCAGGAUUCCUUCAGCAGGAACUUAGCAAAGUUUGAAGAAUGGAUUAGAGCAGGACACAAUCAUAGCAGCUUCUAGAAUCUAGCUUCUUUUACCCUGAAAACCAAGUGGAAGUAAAAUUAAUAUUAAGGAAAGGCAAGAGGG
rnacentral:lncRNA from 1 species